AUUGAACGCUGGCGGCAGGCCUAACACAUGCAAGUCGAACGGUAACAGGAAGCAGCUUGCUGCUUCGCUGACGAGUGGCGGACGGGUGAGUAAUGUCUGGGAAGCUGCCUGAUGGAGGGGGAUAACUACUGGAAACGGUAGCUAAUACCGCAUAAUGUCGCAAGACCAAAGAGGGGGACCUUCGGGCCCCUGGCAAUCGGUUUUGCCCAGAUGGGAUUAGCUUGUUGGUGGGGUAACGGCCAACCAAGGCGACGAUCCCUAGCUGGUCUGAGAGGAUGACCAGCCACACUGGGACUGAGACACGGUCCAGACUCCUACGGGAGGCAGCAGUGGGGAAUAUUGCACAAUGGGCGCAAGCCUGAUGCAGCCAUGCCGCGUGUAUGAAGAAGGCCUUCGGGUUGUAAAGUACUUUCAGCGGGGAGGAAGGGAGUAAAGUUAAUACCUUUGCUCAUUGACGUUACCCGCAGAAGAAGCACCGGCUAACUCCGUG
rnacentral:rRNA from 1 species